CCACAAAAGCUCAUGAUACCAUCUACAUGUUCUGUUAGUCUUUAAGGUGCUACUAGACUAUUUGGGGGGCAGGUUAAGUUUUGGAAGAAUGGUGUUAUAUUUACUGCAAAGUAUAUAUUGAAAAAAAUAUUUGAACCUAUUUUCAAUAGACCCCAGACAGGUUCAUCUGUCAUUUAGAGUGCAAGCCCUGGUAGGCCUUAAAAUGUGAUCUACCAUCUGUCUGUAUGUGCACUCCAGAUAAUUCUUUGCUUUCCCUGGGCUCCACACUAUAAUGGCUUUACCGUUUAAAAAGAAUGGGUGUGUUUUAGCAUGCCCUGAAAAGGCUGUACAUAAUUCCCAAGUGCCUUUGUGAUCACCAACCCUACAAUAACAAACCAGCCCACUUCAUGUGUGGUCACGAGGUUACUGCCAGGAAAUCAGACAGAGUGAUGGGGAACACUUUCCCAGGUGGAUGGUCUGCACCUCAGGUUUAGUCCAGGAAUGUAGAAUGCACAAUUAUGAUGAAGACCUAAAUGAUUUUAACCUGUUCUGGCAUCUAAAGAGUGGAGUGAUAUCGCUUUGAUAUCACUCAAAACCAUUGAAAGUGAAAGUUGAAAACCAUUUUGGUCCUGAACUUUGGGUGAGUCAAAGAUGUUUUCAGUAAAGAAGAUAGUUCAACAUAUGAAAGACGGGAGAUUUGCUGGAAGAACACCUUUUUGCCAGGACCAUAAGAACACAAGAACGGCCACACUAGUUCAGACCAAUGGUCCAUCCAGCCCAGUAUCCUGUCUGCUGACAGUGGCCAAUACCAGAUGCCCCACAAGGAGGGAACACAACAGGUGUUGCUUUCUAGGAACUCCACAGUCCUGUAUAGUGAUUGAAACCUCUUCAGGGACAAACCCCAUUCAUUUUAAGACAUACAUUAAGCCUGAAGACCAGAGAAGUGUUAGUAUCUGUGGCCAGGCCAGACUCUCACAAGAUGAGCUGAAUACGACAUUUUAGAUAUGAAUAUAUGAGGCCACUAUCUGCCUAUCAUCUCCAAAGAGAGCAAGGAAUGUGUAUGGGAAUCCUAUCAAAAGGUAUUUUCAGAGAAGCAGGUAAAUAAGAUACCUCAAAGAUACUACAUCAACUGGAUUUUGAUUGUUGAAGGCUAAAACCUCAAGGAGAUAAUCCACAAACCCAUCGAUUCCCCAGUCAUGGAGGGAAACAAAGUUACUACAGAAAUUUGAAGUUUAACCUAAAAAAGACUUUACACAAAUGCAUUAUUAGGAUCUUAAAGAAAAAGCUAUAAGAGCCAUGGGUUGUGUUCUAUUCUCCAGGCCUGAGUGAUCCAUUCCCAGGCAUCCAAAGCCAGCCUGCAAAAUAUUAGGAGAUAUAAGAGACCGAGAGAGGCUCCACCAGAGAUUUGACAGAUCUAAGGACAACUUCAAAUCCGUACUUGGAAGAAUUUGCCUGUCUGCCCAGUCUAAAGAUUUCUCUUUGGAUACCAACAAUAAUGUCCUUAAUAAUAUAUUGUGAGUGUAUGUUAACUUUC